UGUUAUUGCCAUUUUGUCAGGUCCAUGA
rnacentral:piRNA from 1 species